AUGAAAGAAAAGGAGCGCUCUUUUUAGAGGCUUCGACCCCUUUCUCUUCCACACACCCGCGCACUCGGGGGCGUCGACGCCGGCCGACGAGGCUGUGCCAAGGCGCUUUCCGCCCUUUUACAUGCACCUUUCGUAUUGAGGAUGUCGUAAAAUACAAAAACAAAACA
rnacentral:misc_RNA from 1 species